UUUAAAGAGAGUUUGAUCCUGGCUCAGGACGAACGCUGGCGGCGUGCCUAAUACAUGCAAGUCGAACGAACCAAAGAGAAGCUUGCUUCUCU
rfam:Listeria aquatica FSL S10-1188 c6, whole genome shotgun sequence.